rnacentral:lncRNA from 1 species
UUUAAAUAAGGUUAGUUUAUAAAACGCCUUCCAGGCAAUGUGGCAUGAAAAUUUUAAAUUCUGAAUAAUAUGUUAUCCCUUGGGGAAUUCAUCCAAUCUAAGCCAAUAAAUGCAAAGCCCUAUGUCAGUGAGCAUUUUUUAUCAGUUGAAAGUAAUUGUUUUGAUGAGAGAAAUAAAUGCUUAUCGACAAUUUUCAGAAAGUUUGGAAUAAUAGUUCCGGGCCUUUUUUAUUUAAAAAAUUCCUGUGCUCUCCCUUUCUUGAGCACAGAUUGCCACUUGCCUGUGGUUGCCCGCUUUGCAAAAUGUUUUAAAACGUGUUUUUAUCAAUUGAAAGUGAUUGUUUUGAUGAGAAAAUGUGUCUCAAUGUUUACUUUUUGUCCAUUUUGACAUAAAGCAACAAAAAAGCAAGGCUAUUUUGAUUGACAAUUUUUCAUCGCUAGCUUUUGGAAAAAAAAGAAAGAAAUUAAAGAAAUCACUUCAACAGAAGAACAAAGUGAUUUAAAACGAAAAACUAAAAAAAGAGAAAUUGAAGAAAUCACUUCAACAGAAGAACAAAGUGAUUUAAAACUAAAAAAAAAAGAAAGAAAUUGAAGAAAUCACUUCAACGGAAGAACGAACUUUAAAACGAACAACUACAAUGCUUGAAACAUAUAAGACGACUUUUUCAUAACUGGGCAGAAAACAGCAAAUAAGUAAGGUUAUGGCCUAAACAACAGCAAAAAGCAAUUCAUUUUCCGUAAAGAGACAAAAAGGAGAAAAAAGGUAAGGCCUAUCCCCUUUACUUUUACUUGGCGACUUUUUUCAUUUUUCAUAAGUGGGCAAAAAACAGCAAAAAAGCAAGGCUAUAUUUCCAUUUUUCAUAAGUGGCCAAAAAACAGCAAAAAAGUAAGAAACAUGAAAAACGGCUAUAUAGCCUUAACUUUUCGUCCAUUUUUGGCGACUUUUUUCAUUUUUCAUAAGUGGGCAAAAAAGUUAUAGCCUUCGUCCAUUUUUAGCGACUUUUUUCAUAAGUGGGCAAAAAACAGCAAAAAAGUAAGGCUAUAUAUAUAUAGCCUUAAGGAACUUUUCGUCCAUAUUUAGCGAUUUUUUUUUCAUUUUUCAUAAGUGGCCAAAAAACAGCAAAAAAGCAAAAAACAGCAAAAAAGUAAGAAACAUGAAAAACGGCAAAAAAGUAAGGCUAUAUUUCCAUUUUGAAAAACAUGGAACUGAAAACAUUUCAAACGUGAAAAGCGGCAAAAAAGUAAGGCUAUAUUUCCAUUUUGAAAAACAUGGAACUGAAAAACAUUUCAAACGUGAAAAGCGGCAAAAAAGUAAGGCUAUAUUUCCAUUUUUCACAAGUGGUCGAAAAACAGCAAAAAAGUAAGGCUAUAGCCUUCGUCCAUUUUUAGCGACUUUUUUCCUUUUUCAUCAGUGGGUAAAGAACAGCAAAAAAGUAAGGCUAUAUAGGCUUAACUUUUCGUCCAUUUUUGGCGCCAUUUUAGCGAUUUUUUCCAUUUUUUAUAAGUGGCCAAAAAACAGCAAAAAAGUAAGGCUAUACCCUUUACUUUUCGUCCAUUUUUAGCGACUUUUUUCAUUUUUCAUAAGUGGGUAAAAAAAGCAGCAAAAAAGUAAGGCUAUAGCCUUCGUCCAUUUUUGGCGACUUUUUUCAUUUUUCAUAAGUGGGUAAAAAAACAGCAAAAAAGUAAGGCUAUAUACCCUUAACUUUUCGUCCAUUUUUGGCGACUUUUUUCAUUUUUCAUAAGUGGGUAAAAAACAGCAAAAAAGUAAGGCUAUACCCUUAACUUUUCGUCCAUUUUUGGCGACUUUUUUCAUUUUUCAUAAGUGGGUAAAAAAAACAGCAAAAAAGUAAGGCUAUAGCCCUCGUCCAUUUUUAGCGACUUUUUCCAUUUUUCAUAAGUGGGCAUAAAACAGCAAGAAAGUAAGGCCUAUACCCUUUACUUUUCGUCCAUUUUUGGCGACUUUUCAGUUUUCAUAAGUG